AUGGGGAAGAGAGAAAGAAAAAAAGGUCAGAUCGUAAAUUCGUAAUCUUUGACGAUAUAUAUUAUCUGAAAAAUAUUUACCGUGUAUAUAUGCGUCGUCAUUUCAAUCGUCACCUACAUUUAACAUCUAACAUUCACAACGCACUUAUUACUUAACUGACCCUGGUGAAAAUCUCGAGAUUUUACUAGACAAUUCUAACCGCAUCAUUUUCCAUAGUGUGUAACAUUAAUUAACUAUUUCACUAUUAUUUUUAUAAUUACAUUUAUUAAUAGUAUACGGUCCAUGUCAGGGUUCUUACGAGAACCAUCUUCUAUCACGUCCGUUCGUUUUGAAGAUGAACCAGGACUGUCGAUUGUCAUUGGUUAAAACCAAGUAUCAGGUACCAGAUGUCCUAGUAGCAUAAAUUUCAAAAUUUAUCACAUUUUCGUUUCAUUUCCUACUCUCCUUCCAAAAUCGUUCUUCGAGCCGGCGAUAUUCGUGUUCUCUGACAGCUUUUCUCCCGUCGAUCUCCGCUUAUCUUCUUUUCUCGAACCGGAACUGCUCCCCGUCGUUCCGUCGUUGUAGGCGAAGACGAGACUAACCCGUCCGUUAAAAAAACCCAGGUAUGUUACUGUGGAAAAAAUCAAAACCCUUUUUUUCCGAGAAAAAUCACAGGUCUCCGCUCCUGUAAAAAAAAGAAAAUCCAUUAUUCCUAUACGUUCCAUCUUCUUCAACAGUUUGUUUUAUUUUUAUCACAGUUGUUUGAUCUGUUCGACAUUUCUUCUUCUUCAACAACUUGUUUUAUUUUUUAGACCCCCCUCCCCAUUAUUUCUAUACGUUUUAAUAUUUAUGUGGUCGGUUACUAAAAAUGAAUAACCGUUUUUGAUGAAAACACUAGUUGAUCCUAUAAAAAUGAGUAUAGUUUCAUUCAAAAAAAAUUUGUUCGCUCCAUUGAGUUUCUAUAUCAUCAUAUUUGGUUUUUUUUUUAAGUUUUAAAAACACUGUUGUAUUCAAUUUCUUUGUUUUUCUGUUUGGUUCUUAUUGGAUUUAGCACGACGAUGGACGGAGUUGGGGAAGAUGAUCGGAGUUGGGAAAGAAGAUGUGGAAAUCCGUUUGAGAGAAUGAAUUGGUUUAUUUGAGUUACAUGUAUACCUAUUUAUAACCUUCUAACUACUAAUUAUUGUAACUAACUCUCUUUAAAAUCAGUUACUUCAAUAGUUCUUGUAAUGGGUUUUUGUUUUCCUUUAUUCUGUUUGUUAUUAGUCUCUUAAUGAAUUGUUUAUUUCUAUUUUUUGUUUAUUUCUUAUAAAUCGUAUGUAUGUUUAUUUUCCUGUUUCAAA
rnacentral:lncRNA from 1 species